AUUGAACGCUGGCGGCAGGCCUAACACAUGCAAGUCGAACGGUAACAGGGAUCAGCUUGCUGAUUCGCUGACGAGUGGCGGACGGGUGAGUAAUGUCUGGGAAACUGCCUGAUGGAGGGGGGUAACUACUGGAAACGGUAGCUAAUACCGCAUAACGUCGCAAGACCAAAGAGGGGGACCUUCGGGCCUCUUGCCAUCGGAUGUGCCCAGAUGGGAUUAGCUAGUAGGUGGGGUAACGGCUCACCUAGGCGACGAUCCCUAGCUGGUCUGAGAGGAUGACCAGCCACACUGGAACUGAGACACGGUCCAGACUCCUACGGGAGGCAGCAGUGGGGAAUAUUGCACAAUGGGCGCAAGCCUGAUGCAGCCAUGCCGCGUGUAUGAAGAAGGCCUUCGGGUUGUAAAGUACUUUCAGCGGGGAGGAAGGGAGUAAAGUUAAUACCUUGGCUCAUUGACGUUACCCGCAGAAGAAGCACCGGCUAACUCCGUG
rnacentral:rRNA from 1 species